rnacentral:rRNA from 1 species
UAGGGAAUAUUGGUUAAUGGGCGAAAGCCUGACCCAGCAACGCCGCGUGAGUGAUGAAGGCCUUCGGGUUGUAAAACUCUUUUUAUGGGGAUGAGGAAGGACAGUACUCAUAGAAUAAGUCUCGGCUAACUACGUGCCAGCAGCCGCGGUAACACGUAGGAGACAAGCGUUAUCCGGAUUUACUGGGUGUAAAGCGCGUGCAGGCGGUUUUGUAAGUUGGAUGUGAAAGCUCCUGGCUUAACUGGGAGAGGUCGUUCAAGACUGCAAGACUAGAGGAUGUCAGAGGGGAGUGGAAUUCCGAGUGUAGCGGUAAAAUGCAUAGAUAUUCGGAAGAACACCAGUGGCGAAGGCGGCUCUCUGGGGCAUAUCUGACGCUCAGACGCGAAAGCUAGGGUAGCAA